rnacentral:tRNA from 1 species
GCCGGUGUGAUGAAAUCGGUAGACAUAGUGGACUCAAAAUCCACCGGUGGCAACACCGUGCCGGUUCGAGUCCGGCCACCGGCACCA